rnacentral:SRP_RNA from 1 species
GGAUGGGAUAGGUGGGGAGCUAGGCGUACCCUAUACCACAAAUCGUCUUUAUGGUGGGCUGAAAGCCUUGGGGCGGCGAAAGCGGCUUAUUGGUUUCUGUAUGCGGACAUUGAUGUCUCGCCCCCACAUGAUUCGGGUGCUAUAAACCGUCUUCGGAAGAAAACGGGAAUUAGAUAACCGAGGGAUUAGGUCAGGCCGGGAACGGAGCAGCCCUACUCGGGGCCAUGAGUGCUGUGGGGUUUCGGGAUGGAGGAAGUGUACAGAUUUGGCUAAUAGGAACGAGCGUCCACCCUCGGAUUCCCACCU